UUACUAGAAGCUUUUUGUCAUGAAGGAUGGAGGAUGGACCAUUUAAGGGUGACAGGUGCGACAUUCAUAUUGAUUUUCUGGAUUUUACUUCUCAAAGAGUCUGGAAAGGAGAUCGGAGCAGCUCAGACCGGAUUUCCACUGAUAACCCCCUGGGAUGGUGUGACUCUGCCCUUCUUUUAGCCUUCAAUUCCUUCACGGCUGAAGCUUCUGGGCCUGGGCCUCUCCUUGCUUAGGAGAGAGAGCCACUUGCCUUUAGCAGCUGGACAGAUCUGUAAUCACAGACAGCCACCCAGCCAAGGGGCAGGGGCAGGAGCACACAUCCCGGCCUCAUUAAGACUGCUUAUGCCGUGGCAGGGGAAAAAAAAGAUGCUAUCUUUCUGUCUUUUGCAGUUAGCACAUUUCUCUGGCUGGAUUAUUUUGUUUCCAAGAGAAGAGAGAGAGAAGGCUGGCAGGAGCCAGUGUCCUCAGUUCGAGAGAGCAAACUGCAGUUCCUUCAGAGGCCAAAAUAAACUGCAGGACCCAGAGUCCCCACAGCGCCGUGGUUGGUCCUCAACACCUACCAACCAGUAGCUAUAGCCUAGACACCCGAAAUUCUUCCGUCCACAUCAGACGCUCAGGGAGUGCAGACCUGGGGUCUCCAGCCAGGCCCCCAGCUAUGAGGCAGACGGAUGUCAGGACCCCGCAGGACAGACAGGUGCCAAGGGUCAGCUGCAGACUGCCAGGAGCCCCUCUUGGCCUUCUCCCUUUGAAAUCACAAGCCCCCGCCCCCAGGUCUGGGCAGAAUCUUCCAGGCUCCACGUAAGGCUCCCCCUAUUCAUUCUUCACCGGUAUUCUAUGAGCCUGUGACAAGGGGAAGAAACUAACCAUAAAACCUGAUCAUAAAACCCUUCUUGUGCUUGAAGACAGCGAUUAAACACUCACUCAGCCAAGGUCUCCUCGCUUCAUUUAAAACAAAAGAGGCUCUCCACUCUCGCCCUUCCCACCCCACCAGAAGAUGGGUGCCCGGAGCCGGCGCCCGCCCUCCCGAAAGUUGCUCGUUCCCUUAGUUGAGGGCCAAGUUGGCGAACCCGUAGCCGCAAAGUCCCCACUCGGGGGAGGGGGCGACAGCAGGGCGGGGGAGGGCGAGGGGGAGGGACCAGAGGGAGGGACGCUGCCCCCCGCCUCCGCGGGGUCGACGCCCGGCCGGCCGAGCGGCGGCGGGCGUUGGGAGGGCGGC
rnacentral:lncRNA from 1 species